ACAUAGAUCAUAACAACUCUGUCAACAGGCAACAUUAUCCGACUAAUCCGUGAACAGUUGAUUUUUACCCCCCAAAAAUUUUGAUUUCACGGUAUUUAUUUUGACGAUAUUUGGAUCGAUACAUUUACCAUUAAUACAACGAUACCUAUAAAGCGAACUUUUUUUUAUUUUCCACAAAUAUCCGAGCUUCAUAUAUCGGCUAUUUUUAGUCUGCGCGCCUAAUAUGAAAGUACAAAGUUGGCGGAAAACCUCAUAAAGUUGUCAAAACUGUUACGAAGCUAAAUCUGGAGUGUGGACAACUUUUGGAUUACUUGUUUUUGAAAAAGUAGUGUAUAUGAGACUCGAGUAAUUUGUUAAUUGUGCAACGCUCAUUUUAAAUAUAUCAAAAUAACAUUGGACAUGCCGAUGUACCGAAUCGGCUAAGUACAGAAUCGUCCCAGCCCUAAUGCCUUCAUUAACAUGUUAUUUAUUUUGUUUGUGCUGAUUUUAAAUUUUGAAUGUACUCAAUUACGAAUGUUAUGCAACUUCUGCAUAAGAAUUUUUUUACUUAAUAGAUUUUAUGAAAG
rnacentral:misc_RNA from 1 species